UUACUUUCACUUUCGAUUUUCCACUUCCGGGUACAACGGCAGACAUAUUUACCAUUACGCAUAUAGGUAACCCCGAAGAACUCGAGAGAUAUAGAAGUUAAAUUUGUUUCGAACCUCUUCAGAUUGUCAGGAAUGGAAAGCACGGGUAAAAAUAUGCAGAUGUGUAGACAGGGAGGUAUAUGACAAGUAUGUUCACUAUGGACCAUUUAUCAACUGUUUCCACUGCCUAUGAUCCUGAAAUAUCUAUUCAUCAAAGAUAACAAGGAAAAGAUGAAGGAAAAUUUGUCCAGGAAGAACUUUAUUGCAUCUACCAUCUUCCAGUUCCUUAAUUUGAGAAUAAUAUCAGAGAACACACAGUUACAGAAAACACACCAGAGAUAAAGAUUUUCAUGGAAUCACAUUAAAUGACUAUGAUGUAAAGAUGAAAAAGAAAACAAAAUAGCAAAAAUAUUAUAUAUCAUCUACUUCUAAUAUUGUUAGUGUAAUCAUUGAUAAGCUUACAAAUUUGCAUUCAAAGCUUUGAUACCAAGCUGACCAUUUUUCAAUUAGAAUAUGAUUUAUAACUCCAUGAUAAUUUGUUCAUGUAAAUUUUCAAAGUCUUUACUUUUGUAAAAGGAAAUAUGCCAAUUCUUGUAUCAGUAGACAUUCACAGUGUAAAGUCACAUUGUCCAAAUAACUAAUAAUAAUUUCAAGUGCUUUCCUGAAGUUUUUUUCCACUGGAAAAUCAGUGUGAUAUAUUUGCAAAGCAGUGGACUAUAAUUUGUGUAAAAAUAAAAGUUUAUCAAACUUUUAAACUGUUUUUUGU